rnacentral:rRNA from 1 species
CCUACGGGUGGCAGCAGUGGGGAAUAUUGCACAAUGGGGGAAACCCUGAUGCAGCAACGCCGCGUGAGUGAAGAAGUAUUUCGGUAUGUAAAGCUCUAUCAGCAGGGAAGACGAUGACAGUACCUGAAUAAAAAGCGCCGGCUAACUACGUGCCAGCAGCCGCGGUAAUACGUAGGGGGCAAGCGUUAUCCGGAUUUACUGGGUGUAAAGGGAGCGCAGACGGCUGUGCAAGUCUGGAGUGAAAGCACGGGGCCCAACCCCGGAACUGCUCUGGAAACUGUGCGGCUAGAGUACUGGAGGGGCAGGCGGAAUUCCUAGUGUAGCGGUGAAAUGCGUAGAUAUUAGGAGGAACACCAGUGGCGAAGGCGGCUUGCUGGACAGUAACUGACGUUGAGGCUCGAAAGCGUGGGGAGCAAACAGGAUUAGAUACCCUUGUAGUC